ACUGUCCCGCCCCAUUACGGAAGUGAGUUCCAGGAGGCCGCGUCACCAUAGCAACCGAAGCCUCAGCCACGCCGCGCAGCCGCGGCACCACUACCUCUUUGGAGUUCGUUUCUUCUCCCUGCCCCGGGGCUGGGGGAGAGACACAUCACCAUCCUGCUAAAUGAUUGGGCCAGGUGCCCUUGUGAAGUUGAGCCGAGCCGGAAGUGGUCAGGGCCAGAGAGGAGAGGGGGCGCGGUAACCCCCCAGGCCGCAGGCAGGACGGGUCUGUCCAAGUCUAAGCUGCCCCGGAUGGGCAGACCCCCGAGGCCCCAGGAGAACGACCUUGACAAAAGCUACAGAAAACUUUGCUAGGUGCUGCUGUCAUUGCAAGCCUGUAGAGAUGGCAGGGGGCUGGAGGCUGAUUCUCCCUCAUCCCAGUACCAGCACAGGGCUAAGGGAGUGUACUGCGUGCAAGAGAGUUAAUUCUCGCUAUCUUCUAUGGCUGGCUCAACAUGAAGGAUCCCAAUUUUGAAAGAAAAGAAAGGAUGUGAGACACAGAAUGAACGAGAGAGUGAGAGCCGGGCAUGACCUCCAACCACUCACAGAGAGGGCUCCCCUGCGCCCUGCCCCCAUGGCAGCCAUCGCUCUCUCGCCUAACAAAUGGAGG